GUGGGACUCCCUCCCAACAAUCCUCAACACACUCAACACAGAGAACAGAAGAAAUGGAGGAAGAACUACCAGCGAUUUCAUUUGAUCGUUUCUGCCAGAGGAGCUGCAGCAUCAAGGAGCAGAGCUAGAGAAUUUGCUAAAACUCAAAAACAGUGUCAUCCAAGUCUCUUGUAAGACAGCGUCUCAAUGUCUCAAUGUCCUGAAAAAGAAGGGUUCUUUUGAACUCCCAACCAGGUACGUUCUUCACUGGUUUAAUCCAAUCAUAUUUACGUUCAUCUCUACGCCAAACAUUUUGUAGAUUACUGAGCAUGGUAGGAAUAUAAGAUUUAAGAGCUGAAACUUGUGUAUUUAAUCUUUGGACUAUGGUUUUGGACUUUCUA